GCAGUAGGGAAUCUUCCACAAUGGACGCAAGUCUGAUGGAGCAACGCCGCGUGAGUGAAGAAGGGUUUCGGCUCGUAAAGCUCUGUUGUUAAAGAAGAACGUGGGUGAGAGUAACUGUUCACCCAGUGACGGUAUUUAACCAGAAAGCCACGGCUAACUACGUGCCAGCAGCCGCGGUAAUACGUAGGUGGCAAGCGUUAUCCGGAUUUAUUGGGCGUAAAGCGAGCGCAGGCGGUCUUUUAAGUCUAAUGUGAAAGCCUUCGGCUCAACCGAAGAAGUGCAUUGGAAACUGGGAGACUUGAGUGCAGAAGAGGACAGUGGAACUCCAUGUGUAGCGGUGAAAUGCGUAGAUAUAUGGAAGAACACCAGUGGCGAAGGCGGCUGUCUGGUCUGUAACUGACGCUGAGGCUCGAAAGCAUGGGUAGCGAACAGGAUUAGAUACCCUGGUAGUCCAUGCCGUAAACGAUGAUUACUAAGUGUUGGAGGGUUUCCGCCCUUCAGUGCUGCAGCUAACGCAUUAAGUAAUCCGCCUGGGGAGUACGACCGCAAGGUUGAAACUCAAAAGAAUUGACGGGGGCCCGCACAAGCGGUGGAGCAUGUGGUUUAAUUCGAAGCUACGCGAAGAACCUUACCAGGUCUUGACAUCUUCUGCCAACCUAAGAGAUUAGGCGUUCCCUUCGGGGACAGAAUGACAGGUGGUGCAUGGUUGUCGUCAGCUCGUGUCGUGAGAUGUUGGGUUAAGUCCCGCAACGAGCGCAACCCUUAUUACUAGUUGCCAGCAUUCAGUUGGGCACUCUAGUGAGACUGCCGGUGACAAACCGGAGGAAGGUGGGGACGACGUCAAAUCAUCAUGCCCCUUAUGACCUGGGCUACACACGUGCUACAAUGGAUGGUACAACGAGUCGCGAAACCGCGAGGUUUAGCUAAUCUCUUAAAACCAUUCUCAGUUCGGACUGUAGGCUGCAACUCGCCUACACGAAGUCGGAAUCNCUAGUAAUCGCGGAUCAGCAUGCCGCGGUGAAUACGUUCCCGGGCCUUGUACACACCGCCCGUCACACCAUGAGAGUUUGUAACACCCAAAGCCGG
rnacentral:rRNA from 1 species